rnacentral:rRNA from 1 species
CUACGGGACGCACCAGUGAGGAAUUUUGCGCAAUGGGGGGAACCCUGACGCAGCAACGCCGUGUGAGUGGAGAAGGCCUUUGGGUCGUAAAGCUCUGUCAACUGGGAAGAAGUUACUGUGCUUUAAUAGAGUGCAGUAUUGACGGUACCAGUGGAGGAAGCGUCGGCUAACUCCGUGCCAGCAGCCGCGGUAACACGGGGGACGCAAGCGUUAUUCGGAAUUAUUGGGCGUAAAGGGCGCGUAGGCGGUCUUGUCGGUCAGGUGUGAAAGCCCGGGGCUCAACCCCGGACGUGCACUUGAAACAGCAAGACUUGAGUACGGGAGAGGAAAGCGGAAUUCCUGGUGUAGAGGUGAAAUUCGUAGAUAUCAGGAGGAACACCGAUGGCGAAGGCAGCUUUCUGGACCGAAACUGACGCUGAGGCGCGAAGGCGUGGGUAGCGAACGGGAUUAGAUACCCCUGUAGUC